rnacentral:rRNA from 1 species
UCAGUGAGGCCUUCGGACUGGCCCAGGGAGGUCGGCAACGACCACCCAGGGCCGGAAAGUUGGUCAAACUCGGUCAUUUAGAGGAAGUAAAAGUCGUAACAAGGUCUCCGUAGGUGAACCUGCGGAGGGAUCAUUACCGAGCGAGGGCCCGACCGGCCCGACCUCCAACCCCAUUGUGAACCACAACCUGUUGCUUCGGGGGCGACCCUGCCGUCCGCGCGGCCGAGCGCCCCCGGAGGACCCAUCAAACCCUGCGUCAAUUAGUCGUCGGAGUAUAACACAAAUUAUACAAAACUUUCAACAACGGAUCUCUUGGCUCUGGCAUCGAUGAAGAACGCAGCGAAAUGCGAUAAGUAAUGUGAAUUGCAGAAUUCAGUGAAUCAUCGAAUCUUUGAACGCACAUUGCGCCCCGUGGUAUUCCGCGGGGCAUGCCUGUUCGAGCGUCAUUUCACCACUCGAGUCUGACUCGGUAUUGGGCGCCGCGACCCGUCGCGCGCCUCAAAGUCCCCGGCUGGAUCGAUCGUCUCCGAGCGUUGUGAAUCAACUCGCCAGGGAGCGCGACCGGUGACGGCCGUUAAACACCCCACGAAAGGUUGACCUCGGAUCAGGUAGGGAUACCCGCUGAACUUAAGCAUAUC